rnacentral:tRNA from 1 species
GUAGAUGUAGCUCAGUGGGAGAGCAGCCGGAAGGUUCCGGUGAGCUAAAUCCCUGGCGCAUGCGCAACCUACUGGUGGUCGCCCAUCGCCUUGUGGAUACUUUGCGCUGGUUCGAGUCCAGCCAUCUGCA